AGCAGCCGCGGUAAUUCCAGCUCCAAUAGCGUAUAUUAAAGUUGUUGCAGUUAAAAAGCUCGUAGUUGAAUUUCGGGAUCAAUUUAUUGGUCGUGCUAUUGUACGUACUGGUAUUAUUGAUUCCUACCUUCUGACGAACCAUGAUGUCAUUAAUUUGGUGUCAUGGGGAAUCAGGACUGUUACUUUGAAAAAUUAGAGUGUUUAAGGCAGGCUCACGCUUGAAUACAUUAGCAUGGAAUAACGAAAUAGGACGUUUGAUUCUAUUUUGUUGGUUUCUAGGAUCGACGUAAUGAUUAAUAGGGAUAGUUGGGGGCAUUAGUAUUCAAUUGUCAGAGGUGAAAUUCUUGGAUUUAUUGAAGACUAACUACUGCGAAAGCAUUUGCCAAGGAUGUUUUCAUUAAUCAAGAACGAAAGUUAGGGGAUCGAAGACGAUCAGAUACCGUCGUAGUCUUAACCAUAAACUAUGCCGACUAGGGAUCGGAUGAUGUUAAUUUUUAUGUACUCAUUCGGCGUACCCG
rnacentral:rRNA from 1 species